AUUGAACGCUGGCGGCAGGCCUAACACAUGCAAGUCGAGCGGAUGAAGGGAGCUUGCUCCUGGAUUCAGCGGCGGACGGGUGAGUAAUGCCUAGGAAUCUGCCUGGUAGUGGGGGAUAACGUCCGGAAACGGGCGCUAAUACCGCAUACGUCCCGAGGGAGAAAGUGGGGGAUCUUCGGACCUCACGCUAUCAGAUGAGCCUAGGUCGGAUUAGCUAGUUGGUGGGGUAAAGGCCUACCAAGGCGACGAUCCGUAACUGGUCUGAGAGGAUGAUCAGUCACACUGGAACUGAGCCACGGUCCAGACUCCUACGGGAGGCAGCAGUGGGGAAUAUUGGACAAUGGGCGAAAGCCUGAUCCAGCCAUGCCGCGUGUGUGAAGAAGGUCUUCGGAUUGUAAAGCACUUUAAGUUGGGAGGAAGGGCAGUAAGUUAAUACCUUGCUGUUUUGACGUUACCAACAGAAUAAGCACCGGCUAACUUCGUG
rnacentral:rRNA from 1 species